CAACUUUCAACAACGGAUCUCUUGGUUUCUGGCAUCGAUGAAGAACGCAGCGAAAUGCGAUACGUAGUGUGAAUUGCAGAAUUCAGUGAAUCAUCGAAUCUUUGAACGCACAUUUGCGCCCUUUUGGUAUUCCAAAGGGCAUGCCUGUUCGAGCGUCAUUU
rnacentral:rRNA from 1 species